rnacentral:rRNA from 1 species
AUUGAACGCUGGCGGCAGGCCUAACACAUGCAAGUCGACCUGAGUUGCGAACGGGUGAGUAACGCGUAGGAACCUUCCUCAUAGCGGGGGAUAACGAUUGGAAACGAUAGCUAAUACCGCCUACUUUGAGAUUGACCUGCGUUGUAUUAGCUAGUUGGUGAGGUAAAGGCUCACCAAGGCGACGAUACAUAGCCGACCUGAGAGGAUGAGCAGUCACACUGGAACUGAGACACGGUCCAGACUCCUACGGGAGGCAGCAGUGGGGAAUAUUGGACAAUGGGCGAAAGCCUGAUCCAGCCAUGCCGCGUGUGUGAAGAAGGUCUUCGGAUUGUAAAGCACUUUAAGUUGGGAGGCGUUACCAACAGAAUAAGCACCGGCUAACUUCGUGCCAGCAGCCGCGGUAAUAC